UACAGAGGGUGCGAGCGUUGUUCGGAAUUAUUGGGCGUAAAGGGCGUGUAGGCGGUGCGGUAAGUCACCUGUGAAAUCUCCUGGCUCAACUGGGAGCUUGCAGGCGAAACUGCCGUGCUGGAGUGUGGGAGAGGUGCGUGGAAUUCCUGGUGUAGCGGUGAAAUGCGUAGAUAUCAGGAGGAACACCUGUGGCGAAAGCGGCGCACUGGACCACAACUGACGCUGAGGCGCGAAAGCUAGGGGAGCAAACAGG
rnacentral:rRNA from 1 species